rnacentral:rRNA from 1 species
GUUAUGUGCGGGCGCGGAGGCGCGGUAAUGCGUGUGGUGCGAUGGUUGUGCGGAUUUAGUGGGCGUAAAGGGCGUGUAGGCGGCCCGGUAGGUCAGCUGUGAAAACUCGAGGCUUAGCCUCGAGACGUCGGCGGAAACCAGCUGGCUAGAGUCCGGAAGAGGAGAGUGGAAUUCCUGGUGUAGCGGUGAAAUGCGCAGAUAUCAGGAAGAACACCCGUGGCGAAGGCGGCUCUCUGGGACGGUACUGACGCUGAGACGCGAAAGCGUGGGGAGCGAACAGGAUUAGAUACCCGUGUAGUC